rnacentral:lncRNA from 1 species
CAAGCUUUUUCUGCUUCAGACUUUGAUUACUCUGUGACAUGAGCAAGCAUUCCAAUUUUACAGCUGAGAGACAAGAUGGAAUGGCUUCCUCUCCUCCAGUCCGGGCAGUGAUGGAGGGACUGAUUUCUGUCUGCAUGAGGGAAGCAGUAACUUCCCAAAUAUUGAGACAUUUUUAAUGUUCACAGCAAACAAAUGGUGUACUCUAAACAGCCUUUUCAAAUGAUGCCCCAAUGGAUUAUCUGAGCAAUUUCCCACUGAAGGCAGUGAGUAACCACUGAGUGAGGAUGGAACAGAAGGGGACUCCUCUUUGGAAAGAUAGAAUUUGCUGAAGCUCUGGUUUUUGACCAGCUCUCAGAACCACUCUCAGGAGUCAUCCACGUGCUCGGUGGUUGCUGCUCUCUUCAGAGAUUAUAAUCUCCUUCAAGCAGAGACUCAUCUUCUUGCACAACUCUGAAUGCCACUGAAGUCAGAAACUGCACAGCCAUCAACACCGAGAUAAUGCAGAAGACCCUGAUGUAUUUUGCAAUUCUAUAUCUGAAAGAACAGCUAGGAGUGCCAUGAUCUGCCCCUUUGACAGCCAUGGGAGGUAGAUAUAGAGAAGACAGCCUCAGGCAUGGAUCUGCAGUCACUGCCAGGUACAAAAUUCUCCAAUUUGCAAUGCCACGUGAAAGAUCUCCUGCUGUUUGAGUGCACGUAUGGCCAGCCCAUCUACGAGCAGAUUAAGUAACCCUUCUUUGAUGGACAAUUUUGUUCAACUUUCUUCAUCACAGGCUAAAGUACAUGAGAAGGUAUUAUCAACAUCUGAAAAUAAACUUGCUAUAAUGAGAUUAAUAUGGUUGGUUGAUUACAUUCAGUCAUCAUUUUCUAACCCUGAUUUUAAUUUCGCUCCACAUUUUAAGUUCGUGCUAUAUAAACUCAUAUUUACUUUCU